rnacentral:rRNA from 1 species
ACUAUGUGUUGUUGGGUAGGGGAGCGUUCUGUAAGCCUGUGAAGGUGGCCUGUGAGGGUUGCUGGAGGUAUCAGAAGUGCGAAUGCUGACAUAAGUAACGAUAAAGCGGGUGAAAAGCCCGCUCGCCGGAAGACCAAGGGUUCCUGUCCAACGUUAAUCGGGGCAGGGUGAGUCGACCCCUAAGGCGAGGCCGAAAGGCGUAGUCGAUGGGAAACAGGUUAAUAUUCCUGUACUUGGUGUUACUGCGAAGGGGGGACGGAGAAGGCUAUGUUGGCCGGGCGACGGUUGUCCCGGUUUAAGCGUGUAGGCUGGUUUUCCAGGCAAAUCCGGAAAACCAAGGCUGAGGCGUGAUGACGAGGCACUACGGUGCUGAAGUGACAAAUGCCCUGCUUCCAGGAAAAGCCUCUAAGCAUCAGGUAACAUCAAAUCGUACCCCAAACCGACACAGGUGGUCAGGUAGAGAAUACCAAGGCGCUUGAGAGAACUCGGGUGAAGGAACUAGGCAAAAUGGUGCCGUAACUUCGGGAGAAGGCACGCUGAUAUGUAGGUGAAGCGACUUGCUCGUGGAGCUGAAAUCAGUCGAAGAUACCAGCUGGCUGCAACUGUUUAUUAAAAACACAGCACUGUGCAAACACGAAAGUGGACGUAUACGGUGUGACGCCUGCCCGGUGCCGGAAGGUUAAUUGAUGGGGUUAGCGGUAACGCGAAGCUCUUGAUCGAAGCCCCGGUAAACGGCGGCCGUAACUAUAACGGUCCUAAGGUAGCGAAAUUCCUUGUCGGGUAAGUUCCGACCUGCACGAAUGGCGUAAUGAUGGCCAGGCUGUCUCCACCCGAGACUCAGUGAAAUUGAACUCGCUGUGAAGAUGCAGUGUACCCGCGGCAAGACGGAAAGACCCCGUGAACCUUUACUAUAGCUUGACACUGAACAUUGAGCCUUGAUGUGUAGGAUAGGUGGGAGGCUUUGAAGUGUGGACGCCAGUCUGCAUGGAGCCGACCUUGAAAUACCACCCUUUAAUGUUUGAUGUUCUAACGUUGGCCCCUAAUCGGGGUUGCGGACAGUGUCUGGUGGGUAGUUUGACUGGGGCGGUCUCCUCCUAAAGAGUAACGGAGGAGCACGAAGGUUGGCUAAUCCUGGUCGGACAUCAGGAGGUUAGUGCAAUGGCAUAAGCCAGCUUGACUGCGAGCGUGACGGCGCGAGCAGGUGCGAAAGCAGGUCAUAGUGAUCCGGUGGUUCUGAAUGGAAGGGCCAUCGCUCAACGGAUAAAAGGUACUCCGGGGAUAACAGGCUGAUACCGCCCAAGAGUUCAUAUCGACGGCGGUGUUUGGCACCUCGAUGUCGGCUCAUCACAUCCUGGGGCUGAAGUAGGUCCCAAGGGUAUGGCUGUUCGCCAUUUAAAGUGGUACGCGAGCUGGGUUUAGAACGUCGUGAGACAGUUCGGUCCCUAUCUGCCGUGGGCGCUGGAGAACUGAGGGGGGCUGCUCCUAGUACGAGAGGACCGGAGUGGACGCAUCACUGGUGUUCGGGUUGUCAUGCCAAUGGCACUGCCCGGUAGCUAAAUGCGGAAGAGAUAAGUGCUGAAAGCAUCUAAGCACGAAACUUGCCCCGAGAUGAGUUCUCCCUGAGACUUAGAGUCUCCUGAAGGAACGUUGAAGACGACGACGUUGAUAGGCCGGGUGUGUAAGCGCAGCGAUGCGUUGAGCUAACCGGUACUAAUGAACCGUGAGGCUUAACCUU